GCCUCUUCAAACUACUCACCCAAUGGCCCAAGUGGCCGCCAAAGAACCAGGUGUCUUUGGGGAAAGAAGGGGAAACCAACCACCAAAGAUUGUCCUCUAACUCCAUGCAUCGAAGGCCGUUAUCCGAGGAAGAGGCGCAACGAGAGGUCCCACAGACCCCUAUUUUCGGCUGUUACCUGGAAAGGAUCACUUCACCUCCACUGAAGAGAGCAGAAAUGAGUCCAGGCCAGGGAGGAACACUGCGCAGCAGCUCCGAGCGUCCGCCGCCAUGGGCAGCCUGACUAGAUCUGGGAUAUUCACAUCUGAGACCAAACGAUGCCUUCAUCCUUUUUUUUCUUUUUUUCUUUGUUUUGGUUUUAUUUUUGGUGGCUGGCCAGUUUGGGUAUCUGAGCCUUCAUCCUUGAAUAGCAAACCGACUGUGGAGGAUAUUCUUCUGUCACAGCCUUUCACAGCACCGUGGAUGAGUCUAGCUAGCAGCAGCAAUGUUUAGGGACCUGCAAAAAUUCAGUCCAGUGGGCGUUCAAUUGACUUGCCCCUCACUGUGGAGGAAGCCAGCUUCGUUUCUGUUUGCACACCUGUUUCCAUAUUCCUGAUACACAUGUGUCUGUUCUUUGCAUUCUCUUUUGAACUGGUUGUAGCAUCUUACUGGGUCCCUCAUUAAAAAUGACUUAAAUAAAAUCUUAAACACAUGUUUUUUU